CCGGUGCUGACGGUGGCGGGGCUGCCGGGCACGCUGUGGAACUGCCUCCCGCUAGAGCUGCGGGCUGGCGACGGUCCCGUGGGGGCGGGAAGCGGCUCAGGGUGCCCUCGCCGGCCUGCGGCGGCGCGUCUGGGAGCGCAGGCCACUCGUGCGCGGGUCACUCGGGGCUGUGCCUCGCGCGACUGUGUGUGCAGGAAACAAGGAGGAAAUACCCUAAAAUGGAAUGAAGCGCCAUGUUGAGGGCCGCGGAUGUCGCGAGUGCUGUGGGAAUGUGGGCUGAGGUGGAGAGUUAUGGUGGAGGAAGCUAGUCCUGUCUGAUGGAGGAAACAGGGCAGAGGCGUGGAGGGAGACGCACAGUGCUGGUGUGAGGAGCCGCGAGCAGGCCAGGCCUGUAAAGCAGCGUGAUGGGAACCAGGAUAGAGAAGGCAAGUCGGGGUCCUGUGGUCGCUGAAGAAUUUGAAUGAAAUCAGUAAACAGGUGAGAGGGAUCCAUCGCAAGAGCAUGGGAUGAAACGAGCAGUAGUCCACGGUGAUUCCUCUGCAGCGGUGGGUAUUAUUAAUCGCGUAUGUGACACCAAAACGUGGGUAUUAUUGAUAGCUUAUGUGACACCAAAACCACCCCAUUUAAGCUGUGGCUCUUUCCCUAAAGUAGAAAACAGAGAUCAGUUGGGUUCCAAGCAUCCACGAAGAUCUUAUUAAAUUCGUGAUCCCUGGUGGCACCAUGGAGUCAGGAUUGGCUCAUCUCAAACCUGACUCAGAAACAAAACCAUCUCAAUGGGCAGAGAUGAGCGUCCUUACCCGCUAUCAUAACGUAUUUUCUGGUGUUUUCACAGUGCUGCGCUUCCUAAUCCCCAUUCUAGGGCAAUCUACAUGCCAUGAUGCCCAGAGGCAUUAACAAAGGAGACACACAGGGGCUCCUCACGUUGGCUUUCCAUGGUUUUGAUGAAAAUCUGUUUCCUCAUCUCAUACAAUGUGGUCCGUAAUAGUAUCAUUUAGGGUUGAAGAAUUAAAUGGUACAAAUUAUAUAGGGUGCUUAUGAUAACCUACAUGGAAAAUGCCUAGGAUAUGUUAGCUAUGCUCAUCACCAACAUCGUUAUAUGAUGGUAAUAAUCAGAUAGUCAGGAAGGCUGACACCAAGAAAAUGGAUACAUGCUCUGAGGGAAUGAAUGUGGAGAGAUCAGAAGGUCAAGAACAAAGCCUUACAACAUGUCUGCAGUAAAGGGAUAGAGAAAAGAAAGGCUAUAAAAGAAGGAAUGAAACAGAGUAAAAUUAUAAAAUCAAAGCUAAGGAGAAUUUCCAGAAAGGGUAAUAUCAUUUAAUAUCAUAGAAGUUUAGGAACACAAGAUGGAAAAAAGGCCUCUGGGUAACUGACAUUGAGGCAGUCUUUAGGGAAGCUCCAUUUCUGACAGAGUAGACACCAAGUCAGCUUGAAGCAGGGACAAGUUGAAGAAGCUGUUGGCUGGUCGCAUGGGGAAAUAAAUAAGGGAUGGCA
rnacentral:lncRNA from 1 species